AUGCUAAUAUUGCUUGUUUUUAUGUGCAGCAGCUCUCUUGAGGCAACAAUCUCUCCACGUCUGUUAACUGAACGUUCAGCUGCAAAUGCAAACAUGCAUUCUGAUGCUCCGAGCCAUGUCCCUUUCCCUUUUCAAAAUAUUUUUAUUUUAAAAACAACAGAUCAUUCAAAGUUUGCAAUCCAGCUUCUAUACCUAAAAGGUAUUUUGCUUUUUCCUGUGUCUAAAUGUCUAAAAUGUCACCUUUUUGCCUUGGACUUUCAGGGGGGACUUGGGAUUUUCGUUAAAAUACUUGAGGGAAAAAACACAACAGAAAAAUUAUCCUUCAUGUUUUCUAGGGAUCUAGAGAAAGAGCUAGAAGUAUGUAAUGGGGUUGUAAUCACUGAAGCUCAGGAACAGACAUAGGAAAAGAGUACACAGCACACUGUCAGUGGCUUAGGCAUCGGGCUACGGAGUCCAAGGUUGGGGAGUUUGAUUCCUUGCUGUGCCUCUUUGACAGGAGCUGGACUUGAUGAUCCAGGGGGUCCCUUCUAGCUCUGCAGUUCUGAUAUUAUUAAGUCCACUUUUUCAAAUUGUAACCCUAUUACGUUCAGCAUGUUUUCUUUAUUUUUUAAUUUUUACUCCCAGGAAAAAGGCACACUUUAAAAAAAAAAACAGAGAUGUGGCUGGAGCGCCCCCUACUGUCCAAAUGGAAGAACAAGAUAAACUAGGUAAAUUGUCCAUCAAUUUGAUGGGUACUGCUGGAGAAACUAGGAGGCCCAGGAUGAUAACAAAAUUGACAAAAUUGUUAAUGGUUGCUACUCCAAAAGUGCUGAGCUCCAAAAGUUCAGAGUGGGCAAUUUUAGAUGCCAGUUUUGAUCGUCUUGUGGGGAUGAGGGGAAGGGCUAGUCUUUAAACAUACCCACCUUACUUUACCAGGAGCUGAUCCAGACACACUGUGUUUGAGUGCCGGAAUCGGUGUAGGAGCAGAUUUUGUAAUACAGUCAACGCCAUUAGCUUCUUAACACAUGCCUCCACGUUUAAAAAGGAAUUGAGUAGCUGGGUUGUUCCAUAUCAGAAACUAGACCUAAUGGGGCAGACCUUUUGAAAAGCAAAUGGAUCUUAAAACAUAAUCCCACCAUGAGGGAAACAAAAUCCUGCAUUUUUCCAGGAAGGACAUGUCUAUGUAUUCUGUUGAUACAUUUACUCAGUCAGUUGGUGACAUGGGGAACUAGGAGAAACACUGAAUGUACAAACGGAAAGCAAUUGUGUCAAAAAAAAAAGUUCCCAACAUUGGGUCCCCAGAGGCUCUUGGACUACAACU
rnacentral:lncRNA from 1 species